AGUUGAAAUUAAUAUUUCCAGCAACUAUUUUUUUUUCUGUUUUGCAGGUAGGUUUGAUUUCUAUUCAAGAAUUACAGAAGGAGCUCUUGCUUAGGGAAAAAAUUCUUUCAAAAUCUUGGAAAGUUUUAACAAAUUUGAUUCAAGGAAAAGAUGCUAGGACAUCAAGUGCAGAGGAGGAUUUUCUUCUUCCUUUUUGUGGCAAAGAAGAAAAUAGUGACCAUACCAUUGAUGAAAAGUUACCAGAAAAUUUUCAGAAUUCAGAACGUCUAGUAGAGAAGAUCUGGUAUCGUGUAGUGGAUGAUAGCUUAGUUGUUGGCAUAAAGACUACAUCUUCUUUGAAGCUGUCCCCAAAUGCUGUGACUUUAUCACUGUUAAUGGAUCAAGGCUUUAGCUCCAAUGUUCAGCUUAUUAAGUGUCAAAAUAAGGUGAUUAGUUUGAAUACAGGUUCUUUACCAGCACCAUACUUAAUACCACAUGAAACAGGAUCAAAGGCAAAAAAGAUCAAGUUGAACUCUGAUAGAAAGGAAGAAGGAAGCUGUGUUUAUGAACAGCCAUCUAAGAAAGAGUGUGUUCAGAUAAUUACUGGUAUAACGUCUUUAUCACCACUUUUAGCAUCCAAUAAAUUUUGUUGCAUUCUGCUGCUGCAAAUUAGGGAAAGAGAAAAUGGUGGCUAUCCUGGUGAUCGCUGGAUUCCAUGUGGCAGAAUUUUUUUAAGUUUAGAAGAUCUUUCAAGUGGGAAAUAUCUACUGAAAUUUCCAAUGAACAAAUCAAUAGAACACACAGAAGAUCUAUGUGCAUAUCUUGCAGCAUUGCAGAAAUCUUGUUUUCAAAUCACGUCACCUGGCUAUGCCCUAAAUUCAAUGACGAUGUGGCUCAUUGAACACAUGCAAGGUGAAAUAAUCAAAGAAUUUCCAGAAUUGUGCUUUUGUAAAAGGCCUGAUAGUUUCUAUGGGACACUCUUCAGCUGGAAACAAAGAACACCAUUUGAAGGAAUUUUAACAGUCUACUCCAGGAACCAAACAGUCUUGUUCCAGUGCCUUCAUAGUCUCAUCAAAGUUCUUCCUAUAAACUGUUUCUUCAAAAAUCUAAAAAUAGGAAGUGAGGAUUUCACAGUUGAUCGUUUGGCACUGACUUUGGAGAAGGAACUGGCUACCCUUGGUUCUCUUCCUUCUGCGCUAGCUAAGGUUGCAAGCAAGUUUAUGGAGAGCUCUGAAGCAAGCAAAGGGAAGAGUAGUGCCAUGACUGCGUCAUCAGAUGAAACAGAGAAAAUCCUUCUAUAUAGAAGAGAAGUUCAAGUAGAAAAGGAAAAACUAUUAGGAGUGAACCUAAAAGUGAGUGGUUCCCUUUAUAGAGAGAUAAGUUUGAAAUUAGCUGAGAUUCAGUUGAAAUCAGACCUCAUUGCGCAAAAACUGAGCCAUUUAUAAUUAUGGUUUUUGUGUGAUUAGAUUUUUAAAAUAUAUUUUCACUGCCAUGAAGUUUUGGUUCUGCUUGAAUCCCUUCUUUAUAAAAAUAAAGGUUCAGGCUUAUUGUAGAAUCUUAUUUUAAUAAUGGAGAAAAUAAUAUUCCCUCUAUGGUAGAGGUUCUCAAGUGAGGCCAUUUUGCCUCAUGUGUGAUGUUGUGCGGGUAGCAUGUUAUAUGAAUAAUCAGAAAAAAUGACAGACAGGAAACUAACCUAUAUUAGUGAAAUUUUGGGCUCGGUAAUAUGUUGUUGUGGAGGGCUGUCUUGUGAAUAGUAGGAAACUGACCAGUGUCCCCAGCCUUCUCUACCCUCCAGGGGUGGAAAAGGCUAAUAUAGGAGGCCAGGGUUGCUAUUAAACCUCCUACGAUACACAGGACAGCCCCUUCUUCCCAUUGCAAGAUAGUAUUAUCCAGCCCAAAUGCUAGUAAUGCAGGGGGUGAGAAAGCCCUGUCUUAGAUUUUCCACUUAAGUGAAAAUGAGAAAUUUGAUCUCUUUAUUGUAUUGUCCUUAGUAAAACCUAGUAUAUCAGAAACAACUUCAGUUGGAAAAUUAAUCAAGAUUGUCUGAUUCUUGAGUUUCUGUUCAUACCAAACUUGCCUGGAAAGUUAAAUGGCAGAGUAAGACCAGUGUUUGAAACCCCACUUUUAAAUUUCAUUGGAGUUCUGCUCUAGAGUUGCAAGUCUAUUGGAAUGUAAAAAUUUGAGGGUAUUGUUCUGAAACGCACAUCUUUUCCAGAAGGCUAAGUAUACCUUGCAGGCAACUAUUAAAAAUAAAACUGAAAAUGCUUUUAAGCUAUCUGAAAUUCUAACUCUAGGCAAAGCUAAAGUAUAAAAUUCUAAUAGAAAUAGCUUAAAAGAAUAUGGUGCUCCUUAGGGACUGAGAAAUUUAAAAAUAGGUAAAAAUUCACUUCUGUAAAGAAGCUAUUUAAAAAUGAUCAAGUGAGAGUUUUCAGAGGGAUAAAAAUUCAACUUAGUAUUUUAUUUUUGAAAAAAAAGAAUUCUGGACUAAUAAAAGAGUGUUAGGGGAAGGGAAAAAAGAUGUGGACAAAAAGGAAUUUUCCUAACCAAAAGUAGUUACACAUGCCCAUAAUACUCUUAGCAUUUGGAAAGCUGAGGCAGGAAGAACACCAAAGUUUGAGGUCAGCCUGGACUACAUAGUGAGAUCUUGUCGCUAAAUAAACAAUGAAAUGCUCCUGAUGCUUUUACUGUAUAAUCCUUAAGUGACAUUAAAGUUUCAAUCACAGAAGAAGUUGAUUUUAUGAAUAGUGUCAUCUCAUGCAUGUAGCUAAGUGCUAAUUCCCUCUAUGCCUUAGAUAUCCUUGUAGCUAAUGAUCUG
rnacentral:lncRNA from 1 species